rnacentral:rRNA from 1 species
UGCCUACGGGACGCAGCAGUGGGGAAUAUUGCACAAUGGGGGAAACCCUGAUGCAGCGACGCCGCGUGAGUGAAGAAGUAUUUCGGUAUGUAAAGCUCUAUCAGCAGGGAAGAAAAUGACGGUACCUGACUAAGAAGCCCCGGCUAACUACGUGCCAGCAGCCGCGGUAAUACGUAGGGGGCAAGCGUUAUCCGGAUUUACUGGGUGUAAAGGGAGCGUAGACGGUGAUGCAAGUCAGAAGUGAAAGCCCGGGGCUCAACUCCGGGACUGCUUUUGAAACUGUGUAACUGGAGUGCAGGGGAGGG